AGGUAGCUCAUAGUAAUAAGAAUGAAAGCCAUAAAUCAGUACUAUUCUUAAUUGCCAGCAAUUCUUGGACUUCAAUAAAAUAUUGGUAAUAUAAAAACAAGGGGUACAUUUACCUGACCAUGGGUUCCUGAUAUCAGAUUGCAUUUGGUUUUGUAUGCACCCCCAUAGCAAAAAAGCAAGCCUUUUCAGGUACUAUAGAAAAAUUAAAGGUACAGUCCUUCUAUUCAAUGGGCACAUACAAAUGCUUGACCUUGAACAGAGAACAGAAAGGAAAUUACUCUGCCUGGACAGCUUAGAACACUAACUCACUUUUGGUGAUGACCCAAGGAGCAAGGAGAGAGAGGGGCAGAGAGAUAAAGGAAGUAGCUUUUUUUUAAAAAAAAAAAUGUUGCAUAAUUCAAGUCUCAAUUUUCUUUUAUAAGGAGACUAAAUAAUUUCAUGGUAUUUACAGCGUGAAACAAUUAUAAACAGCUCAGGAAGGAAAUGAGGCUGGAAAAAAAAAAUCAGCUGGAAAUUGGUCUGAAUUUUACCCUCUGCCCCAUCUUCCUCUUCCACUUUAUUUUUUUGCAGGCAGGCAGGAGGGGGGAAAAAAACCCUUAACAAUUCUAAUCUACACUACAGUGUUUUAAAUAUGACGUAGCUUACACGAAUCCCCCAUUCUUCCACAGCUAUGCACGCACUGCCCUCCAAGAAACAACUUUAAAAAUUAGUAUCAAGUUCUGAUCCAGGCAUCCCAUAACACUGAUUUCAAGGUCAGAUCUAUGAAAAGUUUUCCUCUUCAUGAUUUUCAGCAAAAGGUAAUCCAAAGCAGCAAAAAAAGGUGGCUUCUCUUUACAGGAGCACUAAAGUAGUCCAGAUAUGGGUGCAAACUGAACCCGAGAUUUUAAAAACACUGUUCUGGUUUUAUUCCGGAUGUAUAUCCAUUGGAGCAAAAUAGCCUAGCCAAUUCUCAAUGCCUCUGCAUUUAAGUUAGUUGGUUUUUUUUGUUUUGUUUUUUUAAAAGAAAUCUUAGGCAGCUUUUGCAGAGUGUGCUUAAAAAGGCAAUGUCCAAAUAAAGUGCUGUAGUGCAAGAUAA